CCUCUCUGUACUUUACUGCUGGUUCUGGUCGACUGCAGGAAAACACCGGGGCAGAGUGGAACUGAGAGAGGAGAAGGGCAAGAGGAACAUGGAGAUUUGAUUUCAUUAAGCCCGAAGGCAAAAGUUCAAACUAUAGUGACAGACUGACACUGACCUGUAGCACCACCUGUACUCUGACUGACAACCCCACCUACAUCUGGUACAAGAACAGACGUCUCACCAACCCAAAUACCAAAAUAACUACCUAGACCCAGUCAGCAGUGAGGAUACAGACAGAUUCUCCUCUCUGCUGAAGAGACUCACUGUCACAUGUAAGUACAAUACAUGUAUAUAAUCUCACUGUAAUUGAGUUCUAGUAUUAUACUUUGGUUACACUGUAUGUUCAUGUGUAUGUCAUUCCCAACACUAGAUGGCCCAAGGAGAGUGUGUGGGAGAUAAUUAGAUGUCACUAAUUACAUUAGCCAUUUCUGAGAAGAGAUCAGGCCAAUAAUUACAUUUUGCUAAUGCAGAAAUGAUGUCACCUAGUGCAUUUGCUGUUUCUGAGCAAAACUCUUGCCAAUUAAUUACAUUAGCUAAUGUACAGGACUACAUUAGCUAAGACCCAUAACUACAUUUGUUACAUCUGGACAUACUAAUGUUUGGUGAACAUGGAGAGACCAAUAUUCAUAUAUUUUCAUGCUGAUUCCACAUAAAUGUUUUAAUAAAGACUGUUUAAAAGAAAGACUAUUUGAGUAUGUAGAGACCAGGAUAUGUUGUUGUCCUGGGUCCCAAUACUCAGUGUUAUAGUCCUGGUCCUGAGAAUAAAGACCAGGAUAUGUUGUUGGCCUGGGUCCCAAUACUCAGUGUUAUAGUCCUGGUCCUGAGAAUAAAACAGGUUUAAAACAAAUCAACAGAGAAACACGUGUCUUACAGUGCUACACAUCUGUUAUAAUAACUGAUUUUUCAAUUGAAGUAUCAGGAUUAGUUGUUUACCAGUUAUAAAGUAUGUUUUAGUUGUUUAUCUUCAUGUUUCUAAGACUGCAGGGUGGGAGAUGCAACAACGGCCUUGAGAACAGCAGGAAGUGUGUUGGUCGUUCUCUGUUCCCGGACAGAAAGAUGGCCUUCAAAUCCAACUCUGACUUAAAGGGACGCAGUAGACGACGGACAGGUUGCACCUCAACCAGUGGGUAGCGUCAUGUCAUUGUUAUGAAUGUUCUCCAAGCCUCCCCCUGCUGUCGGUGCCAUAGACGUGCACAAAAGUUGAAAUGGAUCGAGGCUCAUGACAAUAUAAUAACAAAGGUUUUUCUGUUUUUUUAUUUUUGUAUCCAACCACAGGAGCUCACUCUCAAUUUUCAAAAUACACCACAGAGCAUCAUUUAGCCACAGAGGAUCAAUAGUUUCAAAAAAUAACUGUGGAUUAAGUUUACAUUUUAUCACAAGCAAAUACAGGUAACUGCCGAGCCCUUUCUCAACAAUGCAGAGUUUAAAAGUUUUUUUUUUAAUGCUUUGGAAAAUAGUAACACUAAAUAAUAAUAACGAAGCUAUAUACAAGGAGUACCGGUACCAAGUCAAUGUGAAGGAGUACAAGGUCGUUUAGGUAAUUGUGGUAGUAUGUACAUGUAGGUAGGGGUUAAAGUGACGAGGGAAUCAGCAUGUGUGUAAUGUUGAGAUGGAAUUGUCAAUCCUUAAAGCAGAAGCCAAAGGGUUAAUAAGAACAGUGGUUCAAAACCAUUGGCAAAGAGUUGUGGAACAAGGAGAGAAAGGGAAGACACCUGGAUGAGAUCCAGGAACAAGGAGAGAAAGGGAAGACACCUGUAUGAGAUCCAGGAACAGGGAGAGAAAGGGAAGACACCUGUAUGAGAUCCAGGAACGGGGAGAGAAAGGGAAGACACCUGUAUGAGAUACAGGAACAGGGAGAGAAAGGGAAGACACCUGUAUGAGAUCCAGGAACAAGGAGAGAAAGGGAAGACACCUGUAUGAGAUCCAGGAACAGGGAGAGAAAGGGAAGACACCUGGAUGAGAUCCAGGAAAAGGUGGGGGCAGGGAGGUCCUCAGGCCGAGAGAGAAGGGAGGAAAGUGUUGUCACAAGGCUGAGAAACACAAGGCUCAAUAGUACAUUGAAAUUGGUUGGGAGACAUCUGACUGGGAGGUGUGAUCAUUCCUUGAAAUAUGUGAGGGAAAGGGAGCAAUUGUUAUUUGUUUUGAGGAGUAAUGGGGUUGAUGAACCAGGAUUAAGUGAACUGCUGGAGAAAUCUUCAGGGGAUGAAGAAGAAAGAAGAGAGCAAACUGGAAGCUAUUAGGCCCUAAACAGAGAGGACACAGUGGCAGAAUACCUGACCUCUGAGACUGACCCAGAAUUAAGAAAAUCUUUGACUAUGUACAAACUCAGUGAGCAUAGAGAAGAGAAGACAGGCCAAGUGCACACUGCCCACAAAAUGAGGUGGAAACUGAGCUGCACUUCCUAACUUCUUAAUUAACAUCCUGCCAAAUGUAUGACCAUAUUAGAGACACAUAUUUCCCUCAGAUUAAACAGACCCACAAAGAAUUUGAAAGCAAAUACAAUUUUGAUAGACUCACAUAUCUAUUAGGUGAAAUACCACAGUGUGCAAUCCCAGCAGCAAGAUUUGUGACCUGUUGCCACAAGAAAAGGCCAACCAGUGAAGAACAAACACCAUUGUAAAUACAACCUAUAUUAAUGUUUAUUUAAUUUCCCUUUUGUGCUUUAACUAUUUGCACAUCAUUACAACACUGUAUAUAGACAUAAUAUGACAUUUGAAUUGUCUUCAUUCAUUUUGAACUUUUUUGAGUGUAAAAUUGACUGUUCAUUUUUGUAUUGUUUAUUUCACUUUGUUUAUUAACCAUUUCACUUGUAAACAUGUGUUUCCCAUGUCAAUAAAGAACCUUAAAUUGAAAUUGAGAGAGAAAGAGAGAGGGAAAGAAAAGAGAGAGAGAGCAGGGUUGUACACUGAGGUUAGAUGGGAAUUCAAUACGUAAAUUCCAAAAUGGUGACAAAUACUGACAUUUAAUCAAUUACAAAUUAAAUGACCCUCCCCUGGACUAAACUUUAAAAAACACGAAAUCCUCCCCCUGACUGAAAUUGAAAUAAUAUGACCCUCCCCCGUUUUCCUCCGUGAAAUGCAGUAAUUGCAUUCAUUUCUGCCUGUCUCUAAAGCAUAAAUGGAUUUAUACUAUAGUAUUGGUGCAGUAAUGCAAGAUAUUGGAUUACAUUUGUCAGAAAACGAACUAGUAGCCAGUUGUUGUUGUUCAUGGUGGAAUAAUAUCAAACCCACAGGCUCCUGAAGCACAUAUGUCCCACACGAACUCCCGAGUCUAGUUAACAUUUCGCUACCUAGCUAGGCUGUUUGAUGACCAAACGGAUGAUCUGAAUCAAACACUAACGUUAGUUAGCCAUCCUCGGCGACAAUGUUAUUGUGGCGCAGGAAUGUCAUAUUUGUGUUUUAACUUUAUGUUAACUGUCAUUGAAGUUGAUGCUUACUAUUAGGUUUCAGAUUCGAAGUAGGAUCAAUUGCCCGUUAUGUUUUGUGUUUCGUUAAGGACUCAGAGUGCCUUUCUUACGGAAGGAAAUGUAAGUCUGGUUCUUUUAACAGUAUAGGCCUGCUGUUGCAAUAUAAAAUGUAUAGGCCUAUGUAACAGGUGUAAAAUAUACGUUAUGUAUUUCCCCGAAAAUCCCUCAUAUUUAUUUUAAGGUUAUUUUGGGAUAUAUUACAUUACUUUCAUGAGUGAACUAUUUUAUUGUAAAUAUUUUCUAAAUUGUGUUAAUGCUGUGAUGUCAUCAACGGAAGCCAUUAUUUUACUCCUCAGUUUUCUCAGAGCCUGAUGAGGAGAGGAGGUAUGUAUGUAUAUAUGUUUGUGUUAUGUAUGCGCCGGUCUUUUGAAUGCACAUGUUCACAAAUGCACAAGAAGAGACGAGCAAAAGUGAUAUCGUCACUGAUUUACUGUUGCAUUGCUGUUUAUAUGAAUAUACAUUCAUGUGAAUGGGGAUCAUGUUCCGAGUGCAACUUUGCAAGGCUAGCCCAGCUACCGUUAGCUUUGUUGCGGGAGAGGGUCUCUUUCAGGUGCAGACAUCUUGAGUUUUCUGAUGAUUUUCUCACGGGCAUUCUGCACUGUCUUUUGUCUUUUAUCAGGCAAAUAUACUUGUAUGGGAGUCCAGACGGCAGCAUUAACAUUUGGCCUUGUAUUUGUAUCCAUUCCUUGCAGUCAUUAAAAGAGAGAUAACCGGCAGAAUUGGGUCCAGAGCCUUGUCUCCCACCUACACGCAGAAAGGUACCGGUGCAGACCCGGUUACAUUGGUGCCGUGACGCAGAUCAACGUGGAUCAUUAUGAAUCGCCGUUGAUCAACACCAGCUUGGUCACCGGGAGUUGCUAUGCUAUAAAUAGGUUGGAAGUGAAAUCUCUUAAACACACCAAAAAAUAGCUAAUGGUUUGUUUGGUAUAUCUCUUAGAUUAACUGAUACAUUUGAAAUUGUUGUUACAUAUAUUCCAUUUUAUUUGUGUAUUUUGAAAGUGAAUAUGACUUCAAGUUGAAGUCGGACAUUUACGUACACUUAGGUUGGAGUCAUUAAAACUCAUCUUUCAACCACUCCACAAAUUUAUUGUUAACAAACUAUAGUUUUGGCAAGUCUGUUAGGACAUCUACUUUGUGCAUGACAAGUCAUUUUU